rnacentral:rRNA from 1 species
CCUACGGGAGGCAGCAGUGGGGAAUAUUGCGCAAUGGGCGAAAGCCUGACGCAGCGACGCCGCGUGAGGGAUGAAGGCCUUCGGGUUGUAAACCUCUUUCAGCAGGGACGAAAUCAGACGGUACCUGCAGAAGAAGCACCGGCCAACUACGUGCCAGCAGCCGCGGUAAUACGUAGGGUGCAAGCGUUGUCCGGAAUUAUUGGGCGUAAAGAGCUCGUAGGCGGUUUGUCGCGUCGGCUGUGAAAACUCGGGGCUCAACCCCGAGCCUGCAGUCGAUACGGGCAGACUAGAGUGCUGUAGGGGAGACUGGAAUUCCUGGUGUAGCGGUGAAAUGCGCAGAUAUCAGGAGGAACACCGGUGGCGAAGGCGGGUCUCUGGGCAGUAACUGACGCUGAGGAGCGAAAGCGUGGGGAGCAAACAGGAUUAGAUACCCUGGUAGUCCACGCCGUAAACGGUGGGUGCUAGGUGUAGGUCGUAUUCCACGCGAUCUGUGCCGCAGCUAACGCAUUAAGCACCCCGCCUGGGGAGUACGGCCGCAAGGCUAAAACUCAAAGGAAUUGACGG